AGCGAACGCUGGCGGCAGGCCUAACACAUGCAAGUCGAGCGAACCUUUCGGGGUUAGUGGCGGACGGGUGAGUAACACGUGGGAACGUGCCUUUAGGUUCGGAAUAACUCAGGGAAACUUGUGCUAAUACCGAAUGUGCCCUUCGGGGGAAAGAUUUAUCGCCUUUAGAGCGGCCCGCGUCUGAUUAGCUAGUUGGUUGAGGUAAUGGCUCACCAAGGCGACGAUCAGUAGCUGGUCUGAGAGGAUGAUCAGCCACAUUGGGACUGAGACACGGCCCAAACUCCUACGGGAGGCAGCAGUGGGGAAUCUUGCGCAAUGGGCGAAAGCCUGACGCACCCAUGCCGCGUGAAUGAUGAAGGUCUUAGGAUUGUAAAAUUCUUUCACCGGGGACGAUAAUGACGGUACCCGGAGAAGAAGCCCCGGCUAACUUCGUG
rnacentral:rRNA from 1 species